UUGCAUGACAUUGGGCACAAUGAGCAACGAAGAAUGGUUCCAAAAAUAGACAAUUUUGUGGAGGAUGUUGUCCCUCUCUACAGUCUCUCAGAAUUUAGAGGUCAUUUCAGGCUUUCCAAAGAACAAGUGGAGGAUGUCAUUACUACCCUUGGUCCUGUUUAUAUGAAUUUACAACAGACCAAACUUCCACUCACAAACAGUGUUCUUGCCUGCCUUUGGACAUUGGCGAAUCAGGAGUCAUAUCGUGGGGUGGCAGAUAGAUUCAAC